rnacentral:rRNA from 1 species
AACGCUGGCGGCGGGCCUCAUGCAUGCAAGUCGAGCGCGUGUAGCAAUACACGAGCGGCGUACGGGUGAGUAACGGGUGGAUAACCUACCUCUGGGUGGGGGAUAACGGCUGGAAACGGCCGCUAAUACCGCAUACGGUUACCGGUCCUUGGGCUGGUAAAGAAAGGGGCCUCAAAGCCUCGCCGGGAGAUGGGUCCGCCUUCGAUUAGCUAGUUGGUAGGGUAAUGGCCUACCAAGGCGAUGAUCGAUAGCCGAACUGAGAGGUUGAUCGGCCACACUGGAACUGAGACACGGUCCAGACACCUACGGGUGGCAGCAGUAGGGAGUAUUGCGCAAUGGGCGAAAGCCUGACGCAGCCACGCCGCGUGGAUGAUGAAGGCCUUCGGGUCGUAAAGUCCUUUUAUGAGGGAAGAACGGUCCGGUGAGGAAAUGCACUGGGCGUGACGGUACCUCAGGAAUAAGCCACGGCUAACUCUGUGCCAGCAGCCGCGGUAAUACAGAGGUGGCU